AAUCGUUUGGUCGGACCACCAACCGAGGAAAGUGUUUCGUGUUCGGAUGGUCGAAUGUCGGUCGCGUGUCGUUGACACUAAUGUUGCAACCCGUUGUUCCCGCGUUCUUCCCAAGCUUUUCCUGGCGUUCGUGAAUCGCGCGAGAUUUUUCGCGGCGUUCGUAACCGCUAAAUCGCAUGUUCACACGCGGCCCACGUGCAAAUCUCGUGCAUCGAGAAAUCCGAGUUUCGAAACGGGCGCGUCUCAUCUGCGGCUCUUCAGCAUGUACGUCUACAAUGUGAACAUUGGAUAAUUGCAACACUCGACACUCAAGGUUGCAAUUAUGGAGAGGUUUAAUGUUGAAGCUCGACUGAAAGGCAGACAAUCCAUCGUCGCGACGGGCGUGAUAUACACGGAAAUCGCAGCGCUCCGGCGACGGUUAUUUCGAGCCCGCGGACGCUAUUCCCGUUGGUCCGCGUCACGACUCCGGCUUCCGCGGAACGGCGAAUCGGCGAACGUUCACGUGGCAAAUCAUUUUCGACCGACGCCGAGGUCGCCUCGCGGAUAUCCGUCCCGGGAAAUAAACAAAUACACCGUUCCACGGAACACGGAGGCGUAAAUCGAACGGGAUAUAGGUCAUGGAUCCGAUCAGGAAUUCGAGAAAUCUCUACCAAGAUGGCGUCCUCUUCGUCACGUUGGAAUAUGCAUCCGUUCCGACGAAUUAGCGGGAAACCGUUUCGGAUGUUAAGAAAUAUUCGAGCUCACUGGCGAGGUCACUCAUCGUCCACGACCAUGAAGUGAGUGUAAUAAUUAAAACAUUUUGGAAAAGAUGAAGAUGACGAAUCUCGAUCGUUCGCUACCCCUGAGUUAGUCACUCGAGCGAACAAUGGACUAUGACGCAUCGUAAAGGUUGGGAUGUAAGACAAAUGUUGGUUAACCUUACAAGAAUGUUAUAGUUAUUUAUGACAUAGUAAAGGGAGCCAUAAAGACAACGAAGAGGAUGAAACUCAUAAUAAAUGUAAAUAUUAUAAUGACAUUAAAGGUGUUUGAAUCAUACUGUGGUACAAGAAUUUUCAUUGGUUUCGACAGGUUAACGUGGCAUUAUCAUAUUUAAUGAUU